GUCACAGACAAGUGACCGGCUGGGCUGUCCGCCAUUUCCUUGGAGCUGCGUGAGUCGGCUCGGUUGGGGAAAGGAAACCGGAAAGCGGGCGGCGAGGUUUGGCCUGCGGUGCUGUGAGCCUGAAGGAGCUGUCAGGCGCCUCCAGCUUUUGCGCGGCCCCCAGAGCGCUUCACUAGACCUCUGUCCUUGUUGGUCCGGGCGCUUUAACCACGGUGAGCUCGCUCCUGCUGGAAACUCACGAACCCGGGUUGUCCUCAACUCCUCAGAAGAGAGGGCUGCGUAGCCAGGGGUUUAUUUUCGCUUCUCAGAAAACCAUUGGAGUGAAGUACUAAAGGAUCGGAUACUGCAAAGUUGAGCAUGUGGUGCAUGUAACUUCAAAUAUUUUAUUAUUUACCAGAAAGUUUAUAACAGCUUUGAUUGAAGAUGUUCUCCUUGUUCACUCAAGA